UUUUUUUUUUUUUUUUUCCUUCAAUUAUGUUUGAUUGAAAGAAAAUGUGAUCAUAGUUUGAAUAUUACCUUAGAUAGAAUGCACCCAUGACCCAUCGAAGCAAUUUGUGCUCAUAUAGCAUCGUGUUUGAAUCAGAGGGUUCAAAAUCAAUUACAUCCAGGAAAGAAUUGGCUAGUGGAUUGACAUUCACUGAUAUAAAAUGUGAAAUGCAGGCAUUUGAAUUGUGAGUUUUUAGCUCAAAUUGUAUAAGUAGAGAUUUUAGUUUGCAAAAGAGGGGGAAAAAAGAGACAGGUUUUGACCUAAUUUUAGAGUGUACUUCAAAUUAAAC
rnacentral:misc_RNA from 1 species